CACGGCGCACGGGUGCGUAACACGUGGGCAAUCUGCCCUCCGAUGGGGAAUAACCCCGCGAAAGCGGGGCUAAUACCGCAUAACAUUCCUUGAGCGAUGGUUCGAGGAUUCAAAGCAGCAAUGCGUCGGAGGAGGAGCCCGCGCCCGAUUAGCUAGUUGGUGAGGUAACGGCUCACCAAGGCAAUGAUCGGUAGCUGGUCUGAGAGGAUGAUCAGCCACACUGGAACUGAGACACGGUCCAGACUCCUACGGGAGGCAGCAGUGGGGAAUCUUGCACAAUGGGCGAAAGCCUGAUGCAGCGACGCCGCGUGGGGGAUGAAGCUUCUCGGAGUGUAAACCCCUUUCGCCUGGGACGAAUGCCCGCAAGGGAGUGACGGUACCAGGAUAAGAAGCCCCGGCUAACUACGUGCCAGCAGCCGCGGUAAGACGUAGGGGGCCAGCGUUGUUCGGAAUUACUGGGUGUAAAGGGUUCGUAGGCGGUGUGGCAAGUUGGGAGUGAAAUCUCUGGGCUCAACCCAGAGGCUGCUUCCAAAACUGCUGUGCUUGAGUGUGAGAGAGGCUCGUGGAAUUGCAGGUGUAGCGGUGAAAUGCGUAGAUAUCUGCAGGAACACCCGUGGCGAAAGCGGCGCGCUGGACCAUAACUGACGCUGAAUGACGAAAGCUAGGGGAGCAAACAGGAUUAGAUACCCUGGUAGUCCUAGCCCUAAACGAUCAGGACUUGGGGUGCCACCCGUUCGGGUGUCGUCCCGGAGCUAACGCGUUAAGUCCUGCACCUGGGGAGUACGGUCGCAAGACUGAAACUCAAAGGAAUUGACGGGGGCCCGCACAAGCGGUGGAGCAUGUGGUUUAAUUCGA
rnacentral:rRNA from 1 species